rnacentral:miRNA from 1 species
UGGGGUUCUACAAACCGAACU